UUUUGUAUAAUGGGUCAGCGACUUAUAUUCUGUAGCAAGGUUAACCGAAUAGGGGAGCCGAAGGGAAACCGAGUCUUAACUGGGCGUUAAGUUGCAGGGUAUAGACCCGAAACCCGGUGAUCUAGCCAUGGGCAGGUUGAAGGUUGGGUAACACUAACUGGAGGACCGAACCGACUAAUGUUGAAAAAUUAGCGGAUGACUUGUGGCUGGGGGUGAAAGGCCAAUCAAACCGGGAGAUAGCUGGUUCUCCCCGAAAGCUAUUUAGGUAGCGCCUCGUGAAUUCAUCUCCGGGGGUAGAGCACUGUUUCGGCAAGGGGGUCAUCCCGACUUACCAACCCGAUGCAAACUGCGAAUACCGGAGAAUGUUAUCACGGGAGACACACGGCGGGUGCUAACGUCCGUCGUGAAGAGGGAAACAACCCAGACCGCCAGCUAAGGUCCCAAAGUCAUGGUUAAGUGGGAAACGAUGUGGGAAGGCCCAGACAGCCAGGAUGUUGGCUUAGAAGCAGCCAUCAUUUAAAGAAAGCGUAAUAGCUCACUGGUCGAGUCGGCCUGCGCGGAAGAUGUAACGGGGCUAAACCAUGCACCGAAGCUGCGGCAGCGACGCUUAUGCGUUGUUGGGUAGGGGAGCGUUCUGUAAGCCUGUGAAGGUGUGCUGUGAGG
rnacentral:rRNA from 1 species